GAGUUUGAUCAUGGCUCAGAUUGAACGCUGGCGGCAGGCCUAACACAUGCAAGUCGAACGGUAACAGGAAACAGCUUGCUGUUUCGCUGACGAGUGGCGGACGGGUGAGUAAUGUCUGGGAAACUGCCUGAUGGAGGGGGAUAACUACUGGAAACGGUAGCUAAUACCGCAUAACGUCGCAAGACCAAAGAGGGGGACCUUCGGGCCUCUUGCCAUCGGAUGUGCCCAGAUGGGAUUAGCUUGUUGGUGGGGUAACGGCUCACCAAGGCGACGAUCCCUAGCUGGUCUGAGAGGAUGACCAGCCACACUGGAACUGAGACACGGUCCAGACUCCUACGGGAGGCAGCAGUGGGGAAUAUUGCACAAUGGGCGCAAGCCUGAUGCAGCCAUGCCGCGUGUAUGAAGAAGGCCUUCGGGUUGUAAAGUACUUUCAGCGGGGAGGAAGGGAGUAAAGUUAAUACCUUUGCUCAUUGACGUUACCCGCAGAAGAAGCACCGGCUAACUCCGUGCCAGCAGCCGCGGUAAUACGGAGGGUGCAAGCGUUAAUCGGAAUUACUGGGCGUAAAGCGCACGCAGGCGGUUUGUUAAGUCAGAUGUGAAAUCCCCGGGCUCAACCUGGGAACUGCAUCUGAUACUGGCAAGCUUGAGUCUCGUAGAGGGGGGUAGAAUUCCAGGUGUAGCGGUGAAAUGCGUAGAGAUCUGGAGGAAUACCGGUGGCGAAGGCGGCCCCUGGCGAAGACUGACGCUCAGGUGCGAAAGCGUGGGGAGCAAACAGGAUUAGAUACCCUGGUAGUCCACGCCGUAAACGAUGUCGACUUGGAGGUUGUGCCCUUGAGGCGUGGCUUCCGGAGCUAACGCGUUAAGUCGACCGCCUGGGGAGUACGGCCGCAAGGUUAAAACUCAAAUGAAUUGACGGGGGCCCGCACAAGCGGUGGAGCAUGUGGUUUAGUUCGAUGCAACGCGAAGAACCUUACCUGGUCUUGACAUCCACAGAACUUUCCAGAGAUGGAUUGGUGCCUUCGGGAACUGUGAGACAGGUGCUGCAUGGCUGUCGUCAGCUCGUGUUGUGAAAUGUUGGGUUAAGUCCCGCAACGAGCGCAACCCUUAUCCUUUGUUGCCAGCGGUCCGGCCGGGAACUCAAAGGAGACUGCCAGUGAUAAACUGGAGGAAGGUGGGGAUGACGUCAAGUCAUCAUGGCCCUUACGACCAGGGCUACACACGUGCUACAAUGGCGCAUACAAAGAGAAGCGACCUCGCGAGAGCAAGCGGACCUCAUAAAGUGCGUCGUAGUCCGGAUUGGAGUCUGCAACUCGACUCCAUGAAGUCGGAAUCGCUAGUAAUCGUGGAUCAGAAUGCCACGGUGAAUACGUUCCCGGGCCUUGUACACACCGCCCGUCACACCAUGGGAGUGGGUUGCAAAAGAAGUAGGUAGCUUAACCUUCGGGAGGGCGCUUACCACUUUGUGAUUCAUGACUGGGGUGAAGUCGUAACAAGGUAACCGUAGGGGAACCUGCGGUUGGAUCACC
rnacentral:rRNA from 1 species